UUCCCCCAAAAAGGUAUUCCACAAGUUUCACAGAUCUGAAGUUUGAAAUUCAAAAUUCAAAAAACAAAAACCAAAAAGAUUAGUUGAAAACUCGAUAAAAACACCGUUCCAUUGGAACUCUCUUAGAUUAAGCUUGAAUUUCAGUUGUAGAUCAAGGAUUCAGGUGAACAAAUUGUUAAAAAUGAGUUGAGCACCUCUUAGAUCUGGAUUGGUUCAAGUUCAUGGAAUUCUAGUUGAUUUCGAGUAUAAUUGGGUCCAAUCAUAUCUCGUUUUGCUUGCCUUUGCGUGUAUUUUGCUGUGAAUCGGUCCUGGGUUUGCUGUGGUGUUUUGGAGUCAAAAUCGAUCCAGCUGCCUUGAAUUUGAGCUCCUGUUAGCUACUGCUUAGCUGACUUACCUCUUUUCAUUUCUACUAUGAUUCCAGGUACUCUCCUUGAUCUCGUAUGAACUGUGAAGG
rnacentral:lncRNA from 1 species